AGUGAACGCUGGCGGUAGGCCUAACACAUGCCAGUCGAACGGCAGCACAGUAAGAGCUUGCUCUUACGUGUGGCGAGUGGCGGACGGGUGAGGAAUACAUCGGAAUCUACUUUUUCGUGGGCGAUAACGUAGGGAAACUUACGCUAAUACCGCAUACGACCUACGGGUGAAAUCAGGGGAUCUUCUGACCUUGCGCUAUUGAAUGAGCCGAUGUCGGAUUAGCUAGUUGUCUGGGUAAAGGCCCACCAAGGCGACGAUCCGUAGCUGGUCUGAGAGGAUGAUCAGACACACUGGAAGUGAGACACGGUAAAGACACCAACGGGAGGAAGCAGAGGGGAAUAUUGGACAAGGGGCGAAAGCCUGAUCCAGCCAUACCGCGUGGGUGAAGAAGGCCUUCGGGUUGUAAAGCCCUUUUGUUGGGAAAGAAAAGCAGCAGGUUAAUACCCCGCUGUUCUGACGGUACCCAAAGAAUAAGCACCGGCUAACUUCGUG
rnacentral:rRNA from 1 species